GGGUGAGUAACACGUGGAUAACCUACCUAUAAGACUGGGAUAACUUCGGGAAACCGGAGCUAAUACCGGAUAAUAUUUUUAACCGCAUGGUUCAAAAGUGAAAGACGGUCUUGCUGUCACUUAUAGAUGGAUCCGCGCUGCAUUAGCUAGUUGGUAAGGUAACGGCUUACCAAGGCAACGAUGCAUAGCCGACCUGAGAGGGUGAUCGGCCACACUGGAACUGAGACACUGUCCAG
rnacentral:rRNA from 1 species